rnacentral:rRNA from 1 species
UACGUAGGGGGCAAGCGUUGUUCGGAAUUACUGGGCGUAAAGGGCGCGUAGGCGGCAUGGCAAGUCGGGAGUGAAAGGCCUGGGCUCAACCGAGGAACUGCUUUCGAGACUGCCAAGCUAGAGUGCGGAAGGGGCAUCUGGAAUUCCCAGUGUAGCGGUGAAAUGCGUAGAUAUCGGAAGGAACAUCAGUGGCGAAAGCGACUUCCUGGACCAAUACUGACGCUCAUGUGCGAAAGCGUGGGGAGCAAACAGG